rnacentral:lncRNA from 1 species
AUGCGUGGUAUCAAGAGGCGCACUGAGGCGCUCCUGCAGCCUCCUCCCUGCACGGGACUCCUCACAACCCCCAGCCUCAGCCCCCCCGACAGGGCAGGGGCUCACUCUUCCCCACUCCGGGCCAGGAACGCAGCCUGCUUGCCUUUUUUGUCCAACUGGGUGCUCUUUCUUUGCGACUGAUACAAAGUGGGAACAAACUCCGCUUCCGGUGAUGCCCGGGCCCCAGGAGGCUGGAGGAGAAGUGCACGCUGCCCGGCCUUCAACCUGAACUGCCCCCAGCACUUCCGAGCCCCGACCCCUGCAGCUGUGAGGGAAGUCCCCACCUCUGCCCUGGCCACAUCCUUUGAUCUCAUGGCUGAAAAGCCACACCAGAAUUCCCGCAAUUCAGUGAAGCAGCUGGUGACGCACAGGGACAGAGGGGCCCAGGGGCUGCCGGCUGCCAGGACCGCCGCAUUGCAGAGGUCUCCCUUGCAGCAGAUCUGCGAGUCCACGAUGGCACUUGUUCUUCCGGGCAGGUAACUCACUGAAUGCUCACAGCCUGCCCCUCUCCUGCAUGGAGCUGAGCCUGCCCUCUGCCCUGGCACCCCAGGGACUCACUGCCAAAGAUGCUCACUUUCUGGGAGACACAGACCCCAUCUAGGAAGGGGCAUGAGACCAUGCUGCAGGAGGCCCCUUCUGAGACCGCCAAGCAUCCGUAGCAGUGCAGACCCUCAGCUGGGAGAAAGGGCAAGAAAACACACCCCUGGUGGAGAUUUAAGACGCUAAUGACACAUGCGACGUAUGAGCAAGCAGGUGCAGCUACUGCGUGUGUGUACCCAGAGGACCCCCCCCCCAGAACAUGCUUCCUAGCAACGCCUCUGCCCACCCGCUGAUUCUCUCGGCACCGUGGGAACCACCUCCUCUACUCUCACUGAACACCCCUGGGAUGUAUCUUUAAAAAUUGGAACACCUUUUGGCUAGAAACCAGAGGAAGCCGCUCAUUACACCUGAGAGCUCACAGAGGCUCUGAAGUUUCUAUUCAAGAAAACAACUCCAGAUGGGGCUGAUCUGGAAGACAAGUAACAUCUUCCUUUCCUUGGUGCUUGCCUGCCAUGCUCUAGGCGCUUUUAGAGAUGCUGGUCUGUGUGCUAGGGAAGCGAUUAACCAUACUGUUAGUCUGUUAAACAUAACUCAACCUAG